UACGUAGGCAGCGAGCGUUGUUCGGAGUUACUGGGCGUAAAGGGUGUGUAGGCGGUUCUUUAAGUUUGGUGUGAAAUCUCCCGGCUCAACCGGGAGGGUGCGCCGAAUACUGAGGGACUAGAGUGCGGGAGAGGAAAGUGGAAUUCCUGGUGUAGCGGUGAAAUGCGUAGAUACCAGGAGGAUCACCGGUGGUGUAGACGGCUUUCUGGACCGUAACUGACGCUGAGACACGAAAGCGUGGGUAGCAAACAGG
rnacentral:rRNA from 1 species